GCCUGGGUGGCUCAGUCGGUUGAGCACCAGACUUCAGCUCCGGUCAUGAUCUCACGGUUCGUGAGUUUGAGCCCCGCGUCGGGCU
rnacentral:tRNA from 1 species